rnacentral:rRNA from 1 species
GAGUUUGAUCAUGGCUCAGGAUGAACGCUAGCGGUAGGCCUAACACAUGCAAGUCGAGGGGUAACGAUGGUAGCUUGCUACCAGUCGACGACCGGCGCACGGGUGAGUAACGCGUAUGCAACUUACCCCGUACAGGGGGAUAGCCCGGAGAAAUCCGGAUUAAUACCCCAUAAUACUAUUUAAAGGCAUCUUUUUAUAGUUAAAAUUUCGAUGGUACGGGAUGGGCAUGCGUCCUAUUAGUUUGUUGGUGAGGUAAUAGCUCACCAAGACUAUGAUAGGUAGGGGUCCUGAGAGGGUAAACCCCCACACUGGUACUGAGACACGGACCAGACUCCUACGGGAGGCAGCAGUGAGGAAUAUUGCGCAAUGGACGAAAGUCUGACGCAGCCAUACCGCGUGCAGGAUGAAGGCCCUACGGGUUGUAAACUGCUUUUAUAUGAGAAGAAACCUUUCUACGUGUAGAGAGCUGAGGGUAUCAUAUGAAUAAGCACCGGCUAACUCCGUGCCAGCAGCCGCGGUAAUACGGAGGGUGCAAGCGUUAUCCGGAUUUAUUGGGUUUAAAGGGUCCGCAGGCGGAGAAUUAAGUCAGUGGUGAAAUCCUACAGCUUAACUGUAGAACUGCCAUUGAUACUGAUUUUCUUGAGUACACCUGAAGUGGGCGGAAUGUGUCAUGUAGCGGUGAAAUGCUUAGAUAUGACACAGAACACCGAUUGCGAAGGCAGCUCACUAAAGUGUCACUGACGCUGAGGGACGAAAGCGUGGGUAGCGAACAGGAUUAGAUACCCUGGUAGUCCACGCCGUAAACGAUGAUCACUAGAUGUUGGCGAUAUAUUGUCAGUAUCUGAGCGAAAGCAUUAAGUGAUCCACCUGGGGAGUACGGUCGCAAGAUUGAAACUCAAAGGAAUUGACGGGGGCCCGCACAAGCGGUGGAGCAUGUGGUUUAAUUCGAUGGUACGCGAGGAACCUUACCUAGGCUUAAAUGUAGAUUGACGUAUUGGGAAACCAAUAUUUCUUCGGACAAUUUACAAGGUGCUGCAUGGUUGUCGUCAGCUCGUGCUGUGAAGUGUCAGGUUAAGUCCUAUAACGAGCGCAACCCCUGUUGUUAGUUGCCAGCGAGUAAUGUCGGGAACUCUAGCAAGACUGCCAGUGCAAACUGUGAGGAAGGUGGGGAUGACGUCAAAUCAUCACGGCCCUUACGUCCUGGGCUACACACGUGCUACAAUGGUAGGUACAGAGAGCAGCCAAUGCGCGAGCAUGAGCAAAUCUAUAAAACCUAUCUCAGUUCGGAUCGGAGUCUGCAACUCGACUCCGUGAAGCUGGAAUCGCUAGUAAUCGGAUAUCAGCCAUGAUCCGGUGAAUACGUUCCCGGGCCUUGUACACACCGCCCGUCAGGCCAUGGAAGUUGGGAGUGCCUGAAGUCCGUUUCCGCAAGGAUCGGCCUAGGGUAAAAUCGAUAACUAGGGCUAAGUCGUAACAAGGUAACC